CGCCUAACACAUGCAAGUCGAACGAAGUAGCAAUACUUAGUGGCAGACGGGUGAGUAACAUGUAGGUAUCUGCCCUUUGGCCUGGAAUAACACGAGGAAACUUGUGCUAAUACCGGAUAAGUCUUUACGGAGAAAGCUUUAUGCACCAUUGGAUGAGCCUGCACUUGAUUAGUUUGUUGGUGGGGUAAUGGCCUACCAAGACUGUGAUCAAUAGCUGAUUUGAGAGGAUGAUCAGCCACAUUGGGACUGAGACACGGCCCAAACUCCUACGGGAGGCAGCAGUGGGGAAUCUUGCACAAUGGAGGAAACUCUGAUGCAGCGAUGCCGCGUGAGUGAAGAAGGCCCUUGGGUUGUAAAGCUCUUUCGUCGGGGAAGAAAAUGACUGUACCCGAAUAAGAAGGUCCGG
rnacentral:rRNA from 1 species